rnacentral:rRNA from 1 species
AUUGAACGCUGGCGGCAGGCUUAACACAUGCAAGUCGAGCGGGUGAGGUUGCUUCGGUAACUGAGCUAGCGGCGGACGGGUGAGUAAUGCUUAGGAAUCUGCCUAUUAGUGGGGGACAACAUUCCGAAAGGGAUGCUAAUACCGCAUACGUCCUACGGGAGAAAGCAGGGGCUCUUUAUGACCUUGCGCUAAUAGAUGAGCCUAAGUCGGAUUAGCUAGUUGGUGGGGUAAAGGCCUACCAAGGCGACGAUCUGUAGCGGGUCUGAGAGGAUGAUCCGCCACACUGGGACUGAGACACGGCCCAGACUCCUACGGGAGGCAGCAGUGGGGAAUAUUGGACAAUGGGGGGAACCCUGAUCCAGCCAUGCCGCGUGUGUGAAGAAGGCCUUUUGGUUGUAAAGCACUUUAAGUGGGGAGGAGGCUUACCUGGUUAAUACCUGGGCUAAGUGGACGUUACCCACAGAAUAAGCACCGGCUAACUCUGUGCCAGCCGCCGCCGUAACAC